rnacentral:rRNA from 1 species
GACGAAGGAUCCAAGCGUUAUCCGGAUUCAUUGGGUUUAAAGGGAGCGUAGGCGGGUUUAUAAGUCAGUGGUGAAAGCCGAUCGCUUAACGAUCGAACUGCCAUUGAUACUGUAGACCUAGAGUACAGAUGAUGUUGGCGGAAUAUGACAUGUAGCGGUGAAAUGCAUAGAUAUGUCAUAGAACACCGAUUGCGAAGGCAGCUGACAAAACUGUAACUGACGCUGAGGCUCGAAAGCCAGGGGAGCAAACGGG